ACGGAAGGCAGCAGUGGGGAAUAUUGGGCAAUGGGCGAAAGCCUGACCCAGCAACGCCGCGUGUAGGAAGAAGGUCUUCGGAUUGUAAACUUCUUUUAUAAGGGACGAAGAAAGUGACGGUACCUUAUGAAUAAGCCACGGCUAACUACGUGCCAGCAGCCGCGAUAAUACGUAGGUGGCAAGCGUUAUCCGGAUUUACUGGGUGUAAAGGGCGCGUAGGCGGGGAUGCAAGUCAGAUGUGAAAUCUAUGGGCUCAACUCAUAAACUGCAUUUGAAACUGUAUCUCUUGAGUGCUGGAGAGGUAGAUGGAAUUCCUUGUGUAGCGGUGAAAUGCGUAGAUAUAAGGAAGAACACCAGUGGCGAAAGCGAUCUACUGGACAGUAACUGACGCUGAGGCGCGAGAGCGUGGGGAGCAAACAGGAUUAGAUACCCUGGUA
rnacentral:rRNA from 1 species